GACAUCUAGGCAGUUGUCUACAGACCUCAUCCCAAGAAAUGACAAGAUCGCCCACUACAACAGGGAGAGAUCCAAGACUGACGGGCGUGAUGCUGGAGUUAAGGCCACUCACUCUCUUUGAGGAGCAGGCAGCAGAGCUCACCAGUGAAGAUAGGAAUUGGUUCUGUGUCGAAGUCACCAACACGAAAGGGCCACGAGGUCUUGCCAGCCAGCCUAUCGGCCCCAGCCCCCAGGGUACCCCUCAGAUGAGGAGGCUGAGGAAGCAUCAGAGGAAGAUCCA